rnacentral:sRNA from 1 species
CGACCUCUGUCAAGGGCCUGUGGGUCCCUGACCCCUGGGUGAGCAAGGGCACUGCUCCCAUGGGCCUGGGCACUGUGCCAUCCUUCAGUGGGAAACAGGAGGUCCCCAGGGUCUGAGAGAACCAUGCAGUCCAGGCUUGAAAGGGGUCCUACAAGGCCAGCUGACCAUAGGGACCUUGGGACCACCAGGAAAUCAUGGGGGCCCUCGGCCAGGGGAUGGAGUCAGGGCUCCUUUGGCCUGUUCAGCCCAUCCAGCUCCCCUUUAACCCCAGGGAAGAAGUAGCUCAAGUGGAGACCCUGGGUCUGCAUGGGGGUCACGUGAGCUGCCUGUAGCCAGCAGGGGGGAGGGCUGGGUGCUGUCCUGAGGAUGCAGGUGCAAAUGUCCAUUUCUGGGCCACCUGUGUGUAUCAGCAUCUGCAGAGGGGCCUGGGGUCUGGCUUCUGGGGUUGGCACCCCCAGGGGCUCUGCCAUGGCUGCACAAGGUGGUGAUAUUUCCUCUGUGCCUGCUGGGUGUGGGGCAGUGCCACCCUGUCCCAUCCCACCUCAUCAGCACAGAAUGAAGCUGGUCCUAUACUCAUCAUCUGUGCACAUGAGGAAACUGAGGCCCCAAGAGGGGAGCCCAAGGUCAUAUUACUGGGGACCUGUGGGCUGGGGUCUGAGCCCAGCACUGUGGCUUCAAGCCCACAUCUGCCCUAGGAGGGCCCAGGAGGCCCUGUGAUAUCAAUACCCUGUGAUGACAGUCCCCUGUGAUGUCAUUCCCCCGUGGUGGCAUUCCCCCGCAAUGUUAUCCCCCGUGACAUCAUUCCCCUGUGAUGUCAUCCAUGUGACAUCAUUCCUGUGCUGUCACCACCUGAUGUCAUCCCCUGUGGUAUCACCUCUGUGAUGUCAAUACCCCUUUUAAUGUCAUCCCCAUGAUGUCAUUCCCCCCGUGAUGCCAUCCCCCAUGAUGUUAGUCCCCCAUGAUGCCAUCCCCCCAUGAUGUUAGCCCCCGUGAUGUCAAUUUCCCAUGAUGUCAUCCCCGUAAUGUUAUCCCCCAUGAUGUCAUUCCCCCAUGAUGCCAGUGUGAUGUCAUUCUGUGAUGUCACCCCCCAUGAUGCCAUUCCCCUGCAAUGUCAUGCCCCUGUGAUGUCAUCCCCCCAUGUGAUGUCAGUAUCCCAUGAUGUCACCCCUGUGAUGUCAUGCAUGUGAUGUCAUCCCGUGAUAUCAUUCCCAUGAUGUCUCCCCCAUGAUGUCAUUCCCCAUGUGAUGUCACCCGUUAUGUCAUUCAUGUGACAUCAUCCCAUGAUAUCAUUCCCGUGAUGUCUCCCCUAUGAUGUCAUUCCCCAUGUGAUGUCAAUCUCCCACGAUGUCACUCCUCUGACAUCAUCCUCUGUGAUGUCUCGCCCAUGAUGUCAUCCCCCAUGGCGUCAUCCUUGGUUGUGGGGGGUUGUGGGAUCCCCUCCUCUCCCCUCCCGUGGGGUCUUCCUGGCUGGUGGGGAGAGGUGGCCUGGCCUGGGUGCUGCAGCAGCUGCUCUGGAAGGUGCCUGGGUUCUUGGGGGCCUUGGCCCAUGCCAUCCCCUGGACUGUGUGGAGCCGUCCAGGGCCCAGCUUCUGUUGGGGGGUGGGCACAAGUCAGAAUCAAGUGCAUCUGGUCAGAUGCUGCCAGGGCCAAGGAUGCAGCUGCCUGUGGCCUGGCCUUGGUGUGGAGCCAGAGUCUUGCUCAGGGACUGAGGGGACCCAGAUGGUGGGGAAGGCUCCGGAGCAUGUGACCGGUGACCAUCCUGCUGUGGACAGACCUCCUGGGCUGAGUGUUGGUCGGGCCCGGGCCAUGCACCUAGACGAUGUCCUUUGACCAAUGGGGAGGGUCUGGGGCUGGGUGUGGCUGUGUCCCUUGGCUGCUGGGCCAGUGUGGUCCAGGGCACUCUAGGGACUCCCUGUGUUCUGACUUGAGUGGAGCUCUUCAGGCUGAAGGGGCAGUGGCCCUGUGUCUCCUCGGAGCUUGCAGGUCCUCUCGGAGGCCCAGAGGGAGCCAGAGGAGGGCAGAGUCACUGCUACCUCCUCAUGGUAUGGAAUUGACUGAGCCCAUGCUGGGGUCUGGAGGCCCCAAAGGAAUGAGGCCUGUGGCCAGGGGCCGGCCCAGGAGCUGGGGUGGCUUUCAGGGGAGAGGCUGGCAGUGCUGGGAGGUAAGUGGUGAUGUGCUCGGCAGCCUCAGUGCUCCCUUAGGAGGGUCUAAGAUCCCACCUCGAACCUUUCUGGGCUAUCCAGAGCCACGAAGAGGGGCCAGGUGGCCUUGGUGUGUGGGAUUAGGUGCUCCAGCCCUGCCUGGAAGUCCCUUGGGGGCUGGGCCACAGCCAAGAAGAGUACUGUUGUGCCUGUGCUAAGGCCACUGUACGUGCAGAGCUGGACCCAGAACCUUGUCCAAGGUCCCCGGGCAGUCUCACCAGGAGGUGUCUAGAGCUGGCCACAUGGAGUGGCACGCCUCCAGGGUGGGGGACUGUGAGAAGACAGUGGUGUGGGCCCUUGGUCUGUGCCUCCCAUGGGACGGCUGCUUCAAUAGCAUCUGUGCCCACUCCUGCCCAUAGUCCACCCACCGCUGACCCCUGGACUUGGCUGGCAGAUUUUCACACCUUCUCCUGGGGGCAGGCCUCAGCUUGUCCCCACCCCAGUCAGAGCCAGCCUCACUCCCUGCCUCAGGCAGCUGUGUAUGUUUUAAUUUUAAUUUAUUUACAUAUUAAUGAGACAGAGUCUCACUCUGUCUCCCAGGCUGGAGUGCAGUGGCACCAUUUUGGCUCACUGCAACCUCCACCUCCUGGGUUCAAGCCAUUCUCCUGCCUCAGCCUUCCGAGAAGCUGAGAUUACAGGCGCUCGCCACCAUUCCUGGCUAAUUUUUGUAUUUUUAGUAGAGACGAGGUUUCACCAUGUUGGCCAGGCUGGUCUUGAACUCCUAACCUCAGGUGACCUGCCUGCCUCUGCCUUCCAAAGUGCUGGGAUUACAGGCAUGAGCCACCACCUAUAAUUUUAAUUUUUAACAAAACUGAGAACUUGAGGAUUGAAUUCAGGUAACGGGUGGUCAUGUGGACGUGGAUUCCAUGAAAGAGGGCUUUGUCCUCACUGUCGGUUCUCCACACGUAGGUCCUUUGACUCAGCAGACCUUAGGCCUAGUCCACAGGUGCUGAGUGAACAGCCCCAGCAUCUGACAGCUCCUUAGCUUGGGGUGCACAGGCCGCUGAAGCAGUAGGAUGGCAGCUCAGGCUUCCCAGGGCCCCACGUGUGCAGGGGUGGCCUCCCAGCACCACCAGGCAGGGCCCUGUGAGUGUCCCCUACCUGACACACACCUUGUAGAGAGGCUGGGCCUGGGCAGGCCCCUCUGCUGCACCACAUCCCAUUCUCAAGAGGGUCCCGGGUCCCAAAGGAAGCCUGUAGCCCAGUGGCUUUCUGGAGGUUUGCAUGGCUGGCAAGCCUGGGCCAGCUACUGGAGAGGCAUCAGGACAGGAGCAACUCUGCUGACUGCUCCCCUCAGCGAGCUCUAAGAGUCUUUAGGUGGGAGGCACAUCACAUCCCUGUCACUCCUGGCUGGCCCUGGAAUGCCUCAGCCCGCACACCCCACUCCAGCCAGGGCUGUGGGAACUGUGUCUGCUCAGGUGCAAAAGGCUUUGUUUGCUCUUGGACUUCUUGGUUCUGACCUGGGCUUCCCGCCUCCUACGCUAUGAGCCCACACAGGCUGGGACCGCAGCUUGCCAUAUGUCUCUCAGUGGCACCAAGUGGACGCUCGAGGCUUAUGUUGAGGGAGUGAGAGCCAGGAUGGGCCACUGGGCGUGCUGGGAGCCUACACAGGCAGGGAGCCCAGCAGGAGGUUCCCUGCUCCUGCCAGUCCUGGUUACCCCAGCAGGCUCGGGAGCCACUCACAGCCCCCACUUCCACUCCCCAGGCACUCCCCGUGUGCCUACCUGCCCUUGUCCUGGGCCAGCUUGGCUCCUACCUCCCAGCUCUGAGGAGGCCUCUGCAGGUAGCUGACCUCCCUGGACAAGGGGGCAGCUGCCUUCUCUCACCUGGGCUCCCUGGGGAGGGCUGGAAUAGAAGGGCCAGGCUGGGCUCACUGUGAGCCAGGUCCUCUCAACCCAGGAUGAAUGGCCUUUCUGAAGGCCCAGAGAGCAUGCCUGCCCCAGUGUGGGAGCUGCGUCUGCUCCCCACCUGACAGUGUUGGCCAAGAGCCCAGCGUUCCUGGAGGGCUCCCAAACUCUGGACCGGUCCCUAAGGGAAAAGCCUGACUCUAAGCCCCAGGUGGCUGAACCCAUCACUGCCAGGGCGAGCUGUCACCUCUGUGAGCUGAUGAGGCCCUGCUUUUAGGACCUCUAAUCUCUGCAAGAACCCAAGCUGGCUCUGCCUGUCUCUCCUGAGCAGCUCGCAGUGUUCACCACACUCCAGCACGACUCGGGACAGGCACGUGCGCCCCUCUAUGCACCAGCUGGAGUCCCUCAGGACACCUGGCUGGAGCUGACGGGCAUGGGCGGGUGUGUGCAAGCAUGAGCCCGCAGGUCUGUGAGCUUCGUCUCCCUUUCCUUCUUCGCAGUGUACUAAUGGUCACUUGAUGUGCGCUGGCUGUUUUAUCCACCUACUAGCAGAUGCCCGGCUGAAGGAGGAGCAGGCCACGUGCCCCAAUUGUCGUUGUGAGAUCAGUAAGAGCCUCUGCUGCCGGAACCUGGCCGUGGAGAAAGCCGUGAGCGAGCUGCCUUCAGAGUGUGGCUUCUGCCUGCGCCAGUUUCCCCGCUCCCUCCUGGAGAGGCACCAGAAAGAGGAAUGCCAGGACAGGGUAACCCAGUGCAAGUACAAACGCAUCGGCUGCCCAUGGCACGGCCCCUUCCACGAGCUGACGGUGCACGAGGCUGCGUGCGCCCACCCAACCAAGACAGGCAGCGAGCUGAUGGAGAUCCUGGAUGGGAUGGACCAGAGCCACCGCAAGGAGAUGCAGCUGUACAACAGCAUCUUCAGCCUGCUCAGCUUCGAGAAGAUUGGCUACACAGGUGAGGCGCCCUGCCACCUGCUGCAUGCCACACAGGUGUGGGCCUGGGGGUCUGGCAGCCAGGAUCCUGGGGGUAGCAGGCUCUGGGCACUGGGCACUGACGGCUCCGGACGGCCGGGCUCUGGACAAGCUCCCGGUGGACAGGCGGACACCUCGGGCGAGAAGACAGGCCGGAGACUGAGCAGAAGGAGGGGCUGAGGCAGACCCCAGGUGCACACCUGCGUGGCUCUCACAGCAGCCCCGCCCACCUGUCCUCCCCACCCUGGCUUCAUCACCCCUGCAAGGUGGCAUCUCACUGUGGGGCUCCAGAGCCUCAAGACAGUCAGGGUCUAAUCAGAAAGUGGGCCAGUCUCAGGGGGCCUGGGAGCUAGGGGCCUGCCCCUUGGACCCUGGGGCAAGAAGAGCACCCGGCUGAGUGAGGUCCUGCCUGCAGGCAGUCACUGCCCCAGCCGUGGGCCUCUCAAGGCUGGCACGAAGCCGUUCAGGGACAGGGCUCCAGAACAAGCUGAGGGUGCCCGACUCAAACUGUAGAACCGGGAGUGGACACCCACAGACGCACAGGCUGGAUGCGUGCACAGGCACACUGGAUCUCGUGGCUCUCUGGGCCACUGCCACCGCCUUUGAACGUGUCGGGGAGCAGAAGCCAGGCCAGAGCCUGGCCCAGAGGACAGCGAGAAGCACCUGUUGAUGCUGGGGCCACUGGAGGAAGCUCCAUCCCUCUACUCUCAACCCACACCAGGCGGCCAGCUCAGAGCACCAGGCGUGGCACAAGCAGGGUGGUCGUGGGCAGCCAGUCCCGCCCUGCUGCCUGGACUGUGCCCAGCGGGAUGUGGGCCCGAGCGGGCCAGAGAGGCCGAGGGCCUGGGGUCUCUGCAGCAGCCACAGCCCGUGGUGAGUAGCAGCCUUAGCUGUCCUGGAGAUACCGGGGCCUCGUGGAGUCUAGGCAGGCUGGGGCACUGUGGCUGCGGCCGUGGCCAGGUGGGAAGCCCCAUUCGUGCAGGAAAGACUGGCCACCUGGGAACCCAUGCCUCCGCAGAGGGACUUGCCAGCCACAGGCUGUGGGCUGCCCAAGAGGACUGUGCAGACAGGGCUGCCUGCUGACUGGCAGCUCCGGAUCAGGCCUGGUGCCUGCAGACCUGGUGCUCCCCUCGGGCAGGGCUGGGUGCCGCAGCCGCCUGCUGGCUUUUCUGGCAGCUCCUCUGUAUCAGAACCAAUAAAGUGCACUUGUUCUCGGAACCGCA